rnacentral:tRNA from 1 species
GGGGAUCUAGCUCAUCGGUAGAGCGCUCGCUUAGCAUGUUUCCAGCCGCGGAACUGCGAGAGGCGCAGGGUUCGACUCCCUGGUUCUCCA